rnacentral:lncRNA from 1 species
CUUAAAGAAGAUUGAAAGAUAAACACAGAAAAAAAAGAAAAAAGGAACCUCGAAACAUUAGGGUUUUCAUAGAAACGGCGAGAAAAGCCUGAACGGGCUCAUCGGAGCUUGGCAAGGACCCAAUGCUUCAAAGACUUGUCGGAGAAAGGCCUGACAUAACCGUGAAACUCCAUUGAAGGACCUCUGGUCCAGUCACACUCACGAUAAUGUCCCGAUAUUCGAACCCAAGUCCAGGAGAGGUGAUGAGUGGAAGAGCAUGGCAGUUUCAAGCCUUGAAUGGCCAUUAACGCCGGCGAAGAGGGUGUGAGACGACUAGGGUUUUCUGAAAACCUAGAGAGCAUUUGGGAGUGAAG